ACUCGGCAAAUUGACACCGUAACUUCGGAAGAAGGUGUGCCUUUAGUAGGUGAACCUGUACAAGGGGAGCCCAAUGAGGUUGCAAAAAAUCGGUGGCUGCGACUGUUUAAUAAAAACACAGCACUCUGCAAACACGAAAGUGGACGUAUAGGGUGUGACGCCUGCCCGGUGCUGGAAGAUUAAAUGAUGGGGUGCAAGCUCUUGAUUGAAGUCCCAGUAAACGGCGGCCGUAACAAUAACGGUCCUAAGGUAGCGAAAUUCCUUGUCGGGUAAGUUCCGACCUGCACGAAUGGCGUAACGAUGGCCACACUGUCUCCUCCUGAGACACAGCGAAGUUGAAAUGUUUGUGAUGAUGCAAUCUCCCCGCGGAAAGACGGAAAGACCCCAUGAACCUUUACUGUAGCUUUGUAUUGGACUUUGAACAGAUCUGUGUAGGAUAGGUGGGAGGCUUUGAAGUGUGGUCGCUAGAUCGCAUGGAGCCAACGUUGAAAUACCACCCUGGUGUGUUUGAGGUUCUAACCUAGGCCCGUAAUCCGGGUCGGGGACAGUGCAUGGUAGGCAGUUUGACUGGGGCGGUCUCCUCCCAAAGCGUAACGGAGGAGUUCGAAGGUACGCUAGGUACGGUCGGACAUCGUGCUAAUAGUGCAAUGGCAUAAGCGUGCUUAACUGCGAGACUGACAAGUCGAGCAGAUGCGAAAGCAGGACAUAGUGAUCCGGUGGUUCUGUAUGGAAGGGCCAUCGCUCAACGGAUAAAAGGUACUCUGGGGAUAACAGGCUGAUACCGCCCAAGAGUUCAUAUCGACGGCGGUGUUUGGCACCUCGAUGUCGGCUCAUCUCAUCCUGGGGCUGUAGCCGGUCCCAAGGGUAUGGCUGUUCGCCAUUUAAAGAGGUACGUGAGCUGGGUUUAAAACGUCGUGAGACAGUUUGGUCCCUAUCUUCCGUGGGCGCUGCAGAUUUGAGGAAGCCUGCUCCUAGUACGAGAGGACCGGAGUGGACACACCUCUGGUGUAUCGGUUGUCACGCCAGUGGCAUUGCCGAGUAGCUAUGUGUGGAAGAGAUAACCGCUGAAAGCAUCUAAGCGGGAAACUCGUUUCAAGAUGAGAUCUGCCGGGGCCUUGAGCCCCCUAAAGAGUCGUUCAAGACCAGGACGUUGAUAGGUCGGGUGUGGAAGCGCAGUAAUGCGUUAAGCUAACCGAUACUAAUUGCUCGUGCGGCUUGAUC
rnacentral:rRNA from 1 species